AAGCCAGGCGGCGACGCCGAGCGGAACCCGAAAACCGGUCUCAGUUCGGAUCGGAGUCUGCAACCCGACUCCGUGAAGCUGGAUUCGCUAGUAAUCGCGCAUCAGCCAUGGCGCGGUGAAUACGUUCCCGGGCCUUGUACACACCGCCCGUCAAGCCAUGGGAGCCGGGGGUGCUUGAAGUGCGUCGCCGCGAGGCGCGCCCUAGAGCAAAACCGGUGACUGGGGCUAAGUCGUAACAAGGUACC
rnacentral:rRNA from 1 species